CGGCACGGGUGAGUAACACGUAUGCAAUCCACCUGUAACAGGGGGAUAACCCGGAGAAAUCCGGACUAAUACCCCAUAAUAUGGGCGCUCCGCAUGGAGAGCCCAUUAAAGAGAGCAAUUUUAGUUACAGACGAGCAUGCGCUCCAUUAGCCAGUUGGCGGGGUAACGGCCCACCAAAGCGACGAUGGAUAGGGGUUCUGAGAGGAAGGUCCCCCACAUUGGAACUGAGACACGGUCCAA
rnacentral:rRNA from 1 species